rnacentral:rRNA from 1 species
UGGGGAAUAUUGGACAAUGGGCGAAAGCCUGAUCCAGCCAUGCCGCGUGUGUGAAGAAGGUCUUCGGAUUGUAAAGCACUUUAAGUUGGGAGGAAGGGCAGUAAGCGAAUACCUUGCUGUUUUUACGUUACCGACAGAAUAAGCACCGGCUAACUCUGUGCCAGCAGCCGCGGUAAUACAGAGGGUGCAAGCGUUAAUCGGAAUUACUGGGCGUAAAGCGCGCGUAGGUGGUUCGUUAAGUUGAAUGUGAAAGCCCCGGGCUCAACCUGGGAACUGCAGCCAAAACUGGCGAGCUAGAGUAGGGCAGAGGGUGGUGGAAUUUCCUGUGUAGCGGUGAAAUGCGUAGAUAUAGGAAGGAACACCAGUGGCGAAGGCGACCACCUGGGCUCAUACUGACACUGAGGUGCGAAAGCGUGGGGAGCAAACAGG